GGGCGCGCGGCCUGGAGGCGGGGCCGCAGGGGGCGCGGGCUGGGGCGGGGGAAUCCCGCCCCGCCCUUUCGGUGCGGCGCCCGGGCGCAACGCAAACAUGGCGGCGGGUGGCACCCGUCGGUGAGGCGGUGCCGGGCGGGGGUUGUCGGGUGUCAUGGGCGGUGGCGACGGCACCGCCCCCGCGUCUCCCUGAGCGGGACGGCAGGGGGGCUUCUGCGCUGAGCCGGGCGAUGGACGAGAGCGGCGAGCUGGGCGGUCUGGAGACCAUGGAGACCCUCACGGAGCUGGGCGACGAGCUGACCCUGGGAGACAUCGACGAGAUGCUGCAAUUUGUCAGUAAUCAAGUGGGAGAGUUCCCUGACUUGUUUUCAGAACAGCUGUGUAGCUCCUUUCCUGGCAGUGGUGGUACUGGUAGCAGCAGCGGCAGCAGUGGCAGCAGCAGCAGCAGCAAUGGCAGGGGCAGCAGCAGCGGAGCUGUGGACCCUUCAGUGCAACGGUCAUUCACCCAGGUCACAUUACCUUCCUUCUCUCCCUCGGCGGCCUCCCCACAGGCUCCAACCCUGCAGGUCAAGGUUUCUCCCACCUCAGUUCCCACCACACCCAGGGCAACUCCUAUUCUUCAGCCCCGCCCCCAGCCCCAGCCUCAACCUCAAGCUCAGCUGCAACAACAGACGGUAAUGAUCACGCCAACAUUCAGCACCGCUCCGCAGACGAGGAUCAUCCAGCAGCCUUUGAUAUACCAGAAUGCAGCUACUAGCUUUCAAGUCCUUCAGCCUCAAGUCCAAAGCCUGGUGACAUCCUCCCAGGUACAGCCGGUCACCAUUCAGCAGCAGGUGCAGACAGUACAGGCCCAGCGGGUGCUGACACAAACGGCCAAUGGCACGCUGCAGACCCUUGCCCCGGCUACGGUGCAGACAGUUGCUGCGCCACAGGUGCAGCAGGUCCCGGUCCUGGUCCAGCCUCAGAUCAUCAAAACAGAUUCCCUUGUUUUGACCACACUGAAGACAGAUGGCAGCCCUGUUAUGGCUGCGGUCCAGAACCCGGCCCUCACCGCCCUCACCACCCCUAUCCAGACGGCUGCCCUUCAAGUACCAACCCUGGUGGGCAGCAGUGGGACCAUUCUGACCACAAUGCCUGUAAUGAUGGGGCAAGAGAAAGUGCCCAUUAAGCAGGUACCUGGGGGAGUCAAGCAGCUUGAGCCCCCCAAAGAAGGAGAAAGGCGGACAACCCAUAAUAUCAUUGAGAAACGAUAUCGCUCCUCCAUCAAUGACAAAAUCAUCGAAUUGAAAGACCUGGUCAUGGGGACAGAUGCCAAGAUGCACAAGUCUGGCGUUCUGAGGAAGGCCAUUGAUUACAUCAAAUACUUGCAGCAGGUCAAUCAUAAACUGCGCCAGGAGAACAUGGUGCUGAAGCUGGCAAAUCAAAAGAACAAGCUUCUAAAGGGCAUCGACCUAGGCAGUCUGGUGGACAAUGAGGUGGACCUGAAGAUCGAGGACUUUAAUCAGAAUGUCCUUCUGAUGUCCCCCCCAGCCUCUGACUCAGGGUCCCAGGCUGGCUUCUCUCCCUACUCCAUUGACUCUGAGCCAGGAAGCCCUCUGUUGGAUGAUGCAAAGGUCAAAGAUGAGCCAGACUCUCCUCCUGUGGCGCUGGGCAUGGUAGACCGCUCACGGAUUCUUCUGUGUGUCCUCACCUUCCUGUGCCUCUCCUUUAACCCCCUGACUUCCCUGCUGCAGUGGGGAGGGGCCCACGACUCUGACCAGCACCCACACUCAGGCUCUGGCCGCAGUGUCCUGUCAUUCGAGUCAGGUUCUGGGGGCUGGUUUGACUGGAUGAUGCCUACUCUUCUCUUAUGGCUGGUAAAUGGUGUGAUUGUCCUGAGCGUCUUUGUGAAGCUGCUGGUUCAUGGGGAGCCAGUGAUCCGGCCACACUCGCGCUCCUCGGUCACCUUCUGGAGGCACCGGAAACAGGCAGAUCUGGAUCUCGCCAGAGGAGAUUUUGCAGCUGCUGCCGCCAACCUGCAAACCUGCCUGGCAGUUUUGGGCCGGGCACUGCCCACCUCCCGCCUGGACCUGGCCUGCAGCCUCUCCUGGAACGUGAUCCGCUACAGCCUGCAGAAGCUACGCCUGGUGCGCUGGCUGCUCAAGAAAGUCUUCCAGUGCCGGCGGGCCACGCCAGCCACUGAGGCAGGCUUUGAAGACGAAGCUAAGACCAGUGCCCGGGAUGCGGCUCUGGCCUAUCACCGGCUGCACCAGCUGCACAUCACAGGGAAGCUUCCUGCAGGAUCCGCCUGUUCCGAUGUACACAUGGCGUUGUGUGCUGUGAACCUGGCUGAAUGUGCAGAGGAGAAGAUCCCACCGAGCACACUGGUUGAGAUCCAUCUGACUGCUGCCAUGGGGCUCAAGACCCGGUGUGGAGGCAAGCUGGGCUUCCUGGCCAGCUACUUCCUCAGCCGAGCCCAGAGCCUGUGUGGCCCCGAGCACAGUGCUGUUCCUGACUCCCUGCGCUGGCUCUGCCACCCGCUGGGCCAGAAGUUUUUCAUGGAGCGGAGCUGGUCUGUGAAGUCAGCUGCCAAGGAGAGUCUAUACUGUGCCCAGAGGAACCCAGCUGACCCCAUUGCGCAGGUCCACCAGGCCUUCUGCAAGAACCUGCUGGAGCGAGCUAUAGAGUCCUUGGUGAAACCUCAGGCCAAGAAGAAGGCUGGAGACCAGGAAGAAGAGAGCUGUGAAUUUUCCAGUGCUCUGGAGUACUUGAAAUUACUUCAUUCUUUUGUGGACUCUGUGGGGGUUAUGAGCCCCCCACCCUCCAGCAGCUCCGUGCUCAAGUCCGCCCUGGGUCCAGACAUCAUCUGUCGGUGGUGGACGUCUGCAAUCACUGUGGCCAUCAGCUGGCUCCAGGGAGACGAUGCAGCUGUGCGCUCUCAUUUUACCAAAGUGGAACGCAUCCCCAAGGCCCUGGAAGUGACAGAGAGCCCCCUGGUGAAGGCCAUCUUCCAUGCCUGCAGAGCCAUGCAUGCCUCACUCCCUGGGAAAGCAGAUGGGCAGCAGAGUUCCUUCUGCCAUUGCGAGAGGGCCAGUGGCCACCUAUGGAGCAGCCUCAACGUCAGUGGGGCCACCUCUGACCCUGCCCUCAACCACGUGGUCCAGCUGCUCACCUGUGACCUGCUACUGUCGCUACGGACAGCGCUCUGGCAAAAACAGGCCAGUGCCAGCCAGGCUGUGGGGGAGACCUACCACGCGUCAGGCCCUGAACUGGCGGGCUUCCAACGGGACCUGGGCAGCCUGCGCAGGCUGGCACACAGCUUCCGCCCAGCGUACCGCAAGUAGCUAGAGGCUUCGGUUCUGCUGCUGGGUAACAUCCCCUUGGCAGUGGCCACAUGAUCUGAACUAAGUCACGGAGGAAAGUUCUAUGACUGGGCUUGCCAGGUUCCAGCUAUUUCCUUUUUUGUUUAUUUGUAUUGCUAUAUAAUGUAUUCAACAUAUUUGUACCUGUAUUUUUUUCUAAAAAUUUGAGUGAGAUGACUCAAGUGUCAUUGAGGGGGCACGGGCUGGGCUGGAAGAAGGCCUCAGAGCGAGGCUGCUGCCGUGAAGCCUGGGAUUCAGCCCCCACACCCAUCACCCUGAGGUGCUGCGGGGCCCACACAGGGUUGCACUGUGGCCACUGUGUGCAGCAAGCCAAGACAGACACAACAGACAGUAUCAUCGGAGAGCCAUUCCUUACUGUGGAGAAGAGGGCAUGUACCCCAGGCCUGGAGCGGCACCCCUGCCUCCUGGAGCCCACUCUGGUCAGCUCUCUGGUCUGCUCACAGCAUGGCUGGCAUCAGUGGCCUUUUUUUCAUAAUAGAUGGGGUCUUGCUGUGUGGCCCAGGCUGGUCUCAGACCCCUAGCCUCAAGCUGUCCUCCUGCCUCGGCCUCCCAAAGUGCUGGGAUUACAGGUGUGAGCCACCUCGCCUGGUCCAAAGGCCUCCUCUUAAAUACCAUUUCCAUUCUGCUACUCCCUGCUGAGAGCCCAUCAGCGGCUCCCCAUUGCCUACCAGGACCAGAAUCCACUUGGCAGCACUGAAGACCCUCCCUGAAGACUGAGAUAUAAAAGCAUCAAAAAGAGCUUGAGAUUUUAAGAAAUGACAGACCUCAGCCUUGCCCUUCACCCACCAGCGGCUCAUACCUAAGCGCUGCAGACUUUACCCGCACACCUCUAGACUCUCUUCCUUUCUAAAGAUACGGAAAGAGGAUACCAAACCUCUCUGGUACCAGCCCAACUGUCCCUCCUCACCCCUCUGUCCCUGUCACACCUGUCCUUUUGUCAAACUGCAGGCAGCCUCCAGGGCCCUUGGGGCUUCACCCAGGGCACUUGUCUACCAGCCCCACGAGGUGCAUCCAGGGCUUUCUUGUCACCAGUUGGGAAAAGCAGGCCUUUUGCCUCUCUCUCCUCUCAUCCUGCUCCUGCCGUUCAGCCAGGUUUCCGGCCUGGCUCAGGGUCAGAGUACGGGACAACAGAGGUUGCUUUUCAGGGGUGUUCCUGCAUGAAGCCACCGUGCGCCUGAUGGCAGGAGCCAGCCCCACCCGCACCCACCAGCUGCUGGAACACAGCCUGCGGCGGCGCACCACGCAGAGCACCAAGCACGGAGAGGUGGAUGCCUGGCCCGGCCAGCGAGAGCGGGCCACCGCCAUCCUGCUGGCCUGCCGCCACCUGCCCCUCUCCUUCCUCUCCUCCCCGGGCCAGCGGGCAGUGCUGCUGGCCGAAGCUGCCCGCACCCUGGAGAAGGUGGGCGACCGGCGCUCCUGCAACGACUGCCAGCAGAUGAUUGUUAAGCUGGGUGGUGGCACUGCCAUUGCCGCCUCCUGACCACCAGGCUCAGCCCACCCCUCCACCUCUCUCUCGAUUUCUCUCUCUCCCCCUCAGCAUCUUCCCGCUGAGAGUGGUGGGGAGGAGCCUUGUCUUCUUAGCUGUCACCUGCCGAGGCUUCUGGGCCACUCAGGCCAGUGCACCCCUGGGCAGAGCCCCUUAAAGCUGCUGUCACUAGAUGCCCAGGUCCAGGGCCUGGUGGGCAUGAGAGGAAAGGUGGCAGGGCAGAAACUGGGCAGCCCUGACUUGAUAGCAGCAGGGGGAGCUCCCAAGCUGCCAAGCCCCUGCCUCCAGCCUUCCUGAGUUUCUCUCUCCUGAACCCUACUCUCUCCUUUUUGCUUCCUCAGUUUUUAUCAGGCUUUCUCUGGGGGACAGCAGUCUCUGAGCACCAGGGAGCAGUUGCCCUCAGGCCUGUGCCCAGCAUGCCCUCCCCUUUUUAUACGAAUGUUUUCUACUAGUGUGCUUGGGUUUGCCAUGAUGCGAGGCUGAGUUGCUGUAGUGUCUUGAUUCUCUCCCUGGGUCUGCGUUCCCUCCCCUGGGCCUGACUGAGCCUGCUCAUUGUUUUUCCCUUUAUUACACAGGACAGCCAGGGGAGGAGGGGGGCCCAGCCCUGGGAGGCUGGUGGGAGGCAGGGGGCAGGCCUGCAGAUGCAUGAAAUAAUGUUGGCAUUAUUUUUUAAUUUUUUAAAAAAUAAAUGGUAUCUUUUUAAUUGUCCUGUUCCUUCCCACUCCCCGCCUCCUAGGAUGUUAGCCCAAGCUCAGGGUAGGCCCAGGGGGCUGGGAAAAAUGAAGCCACCCAUUGGGACUGGGGACCAGGGGCCUUCAGCAUGGCUUCUAGGUUCCCUCCUCCCCCUACCCCUCUCCUACCUCCACAGUACAGACUGUCCCCAACUUAACAGUGGUUCAACUUAAACCAUGUUUCAACUUUACAAUUGGUCUGUUGGGGUAUUAAAUGAAUUUGUGACUUAGGAUAUUUUCAUUUAUGAUGGGUUUAUCAGGAAGUAACCCCAUGGUAAGUUGAGGCAUAUCUGUAUAUAUUUAAACCUAAUUAAUUCUUGAGCUGAAAAUAAACCAGGAUGGCAGGGACCAACCCCUAAUCCCUCCCCAGCGGCAAGCCCAUCUUUUCAGAGUGGGCAGAGGGUUGCUUGUGGUGGGCACUAGGAAUGAGGUCCCCUGCCUCGAUGCAGGUCCUAGGAGAAAAAGUCCUACUUUUCUGGGUCCCCAGGUGCAGCACCUCCCAGAGACUGUUUCUCCCAUGGCCUCCUGAGUGAUGGGCCCUGCCUCCCUGUGCCUCAUCCUCAGGCUGGUUGGAGCAGAGGGUGGGCAGGAGCCCCAGCACAGACUGGGGGGUGCUCACAGCAGGGCCACCUUGAUGCAGGCUGGAAUGUUAUCCCUGGGGUGUGCUUGGACCCCACCUGCUUUCUUUCUCUCCUGCCCCUCCCCUACUCUCACUGUAAUUUAUGGACCCUGUCCGCCUGCGUGUUGUAUGUCCUGUGCCUUUUCUCACUAUUGUUUGGGUGUGGGAGGGGGUGGUUUUUCACUGAAAAGGGGGAUACACCUAUAGCUUUCUUGAUGUUCAAUCAGUCACUGUGUCCCAGACAUAGGUUAUUCAAUAAACACAGAUUGGUACCACCCA